rnacentral:rRNA from 1 species
UACGUAGGUGGCAAGCGUUGUCCGGAUUUACUGGGCGCAAAGGGCGUGCAGGCGGUUUGUUAAGUGCAGGGUGAAAGCUCCCGGCUCAACUGGGAGAGGUCCUUGCAUACUGGCAGACUUGAGGGAGGCAGAGGAAAGUGGAAUUCCCGGUGUAGUGGUGAUAUGCGUAGAUAUCGGGAGGAACACCUGUGGCGAAGGCGGCUUUCUGGGCCUUACCUGACGCUGAGACGCGAAAGCGUGGGUAGCAAACAGGG